rnacentral:rRNA from 1 species
GUGGGGAAUUUUGGACAAUGGGCGCAAGCCUGAUCCAGCAAUGCCGCGUGCAGGAAGAAGGCCUUCGGGUUGUAAACUGCUUUUGUACGGAACGAAAAGGCUCUGGUUAAUACCUGGGGCUCAUGACGGUACCGUAAGAAUAAGCACCGGCUAACUACGUGCCAGCAGCCGCGGUAAUACGUAGGGUGCAAGCGUUAAUCGGAAUUACUGGGCGUAAAGCGUGCGCAGGCGGUUUUGUAAGACAGACGGGAAAUCCCCGGGCUCAACCUGGGAAUGGCGUUUGUGACUGCAAAGCUGGAGUGCGGCAGAGGGGGAUGGAAUUCCGAGUGUAGCAGUGAAAUGCGUAGAUAUGCGGAGGAACACCGAUGGCGAAGGCAAUCCCCUGGGCCUGCACUGACGCUCAUGCACGAAAGCGUGGGGAGCAAACAGGAUUAGAUACCCUUGUAGUCC